UACGGCCAUAGCACGUUCAAACACCAGUUUUCAUCCGAUCGCCAAAGUUAAAAACCUUCGAAACUGAUUAGUAUUUGGAUAGGUGGUCGCUUUGGGAUAUUAGGUGUCGUCAU